rnacentral:rRNA from 1 species
AUUGAACGCUAGCGGCAGGCUUAACACAUGCAAGUCGAGCGAGCGGCGGACGGGUGAGUAAUGUCUGGGAAACUGCCUGAUGGAGGGGGAUAACUACUGGAAACGGUAGCUAAUACCGCAUACCAUCAGAUGUGCCCAGAUGGGAUUAGCUAGUUGGUGGGGUAAUGGCUCACCGAGGCGACGAUCCCUAGCUGGUCUGAGAGGAUGACCAGCCACACUGGAACUGAGACACGGUCCAGACUCCUACGGGAGGCAGCAGUGGGGAAUUUUGGACAAUGGGCGAAACCCUGAUGCAGCCAUGCCGCGUGUAUGAUGAAGGCCUUCGGGUUGUAAAGUACUUUUAGCGGGGAAGCGUUACUCGCAGAAGAAGCACCGGCUAACUCCGUGCCAGCAGCCGCGGUAAUUC